UACAGCAUGAGCUGGCACUCUAGCUGUACCCACUGGUGUCUUGCUUACACUGAAUCCUGGGACCGUCUGUCUAGCCAGCCAUGUCUGAGGAAGGGUGUUUGUGUUUCUUGCAGAAGAACAGCUUUUAAAGGCCUGGGAGCCUGCACGGUGAGAGUGCUGACACUGCCAGUUUGGGCCGGUAGCCGGAUGUGGGCCACACGCAGGUGAACUGGAUUGAAGGAGGGCUGAGUCAUUGACAUGGUAGAUCAGUUCUCUCAUUUGAACAGCAGGGUUUUUACAGCCUGCUUUGUCAGGAAAAACAUUCCUGAGACUAUCGCUUUUUGUUUAAAACAGAAAUCAUUGUGUUGAAUGCUUCUGAUUUGGCUGUAGAGCAAGCAAGCACAUGCCCUCCAGAAAUAUCAAGAAAGGAGAAGCUUACCGCAUGGCAAACUGCCUCCACUUCUCAUCCAAAAUAGAACUCUGGCUGAGAAACCUUGGCUACUGGCUUCUGAACCAUCUUGCUUGGCGUUGGCAUCUCUGUGACCUCCCAGGAUGGGUCUUGGCCUUACCAUCCCUUUGCCAUCCUGGCCCACCACUCCCAACUUUAAUCACAGACUCAGACAGUUGCCUGAUCUCUAGAUUCUGGCAACAGCCUGCCUACUUGUUCUUCUUGCCCUCACCAAACUCACUGACCAAGCACAUCACACGAGAAGAGGAGCUUCCCUGGUGGUGCAGUGGUUAAGAAUCUGCCUGCCAAUGCAGGGGACACGGGUUCGAGCCCUGGUCCAGGAAGAUCCCACAUGCAGCGGAGCAACUAAGCCCGUGUGCCAUGAGUGCUGAAGCCCAUGCGCCUAAAGCCCGUGUUCUGCAACAAGAGAAGCCACCACAAUGAGAAGCCCACGCACCACAACGAAGCCCCAACGCCGCAACUAGAGAAAGCCCGCGUGCAGCAACAAAGACCCAACGGAGCCAAAAAUAAAUAAAUAAAAUUUUAAAAGUAAAAUAAAUCAUUUAAUAGAUGAUUCUGUAGCACCUGGUGUGUGCCAGACCAUUGUGCCAGGUGCAGACAUACUCCCUUCAACAGGGAGCUCAGGGUCUAGUGAAGGAAACAGGCAAAUAAAGAGAUA